GAGUAACACGUGGGUAACCUGCCUGUAAGACUGGGAUAACUCCGGGAAACCGGAGCUAAUACCGGAUAGUUCCUUGAACCGCAUGGUUCAAGGAUGAAAGACGGUUUCGGCUGUCACUUACAGAUGGACCCGCGGCGCAUUAGCUAGUUGGUGAGGUAACGGCUCACCAAGGCGACGAUGCGUAGCCGACCUGAGAGGGUGAUCGGCCACACUGGGACUGAGACACGGCCCAGACUCCUACGGGAGGCAGCAGUAGGGAAUCUUCCGCAAUGGACGAAAGUCUGACGGAGCAACGCCGCGUGAGUGAUGAAGGUUUUCGGAUCGUAAAGCUCUGUUGUUAGGGAAGAACAAGUGCAAGAGUAACUGCUUGCACCUUGACGGUACCUAACCAGAAAGCCACGGCUAACUACGUGCCAGCAGCCGCGGUAAUACGUAGGUGGCAAGCGUUGUCCGGAAUUAUUGGGCGUAAAGGGCUCGCAGGCGGUUUCUUAAGUCUGAUGUGAAAGCCCCCGGCUCAACCGGGGAGGGUCAUUGGAAACUGGGAAACUUGAGUGCAGAAGAGGAGAGUGGAAUUCCACGUGUAGCGGUGAAAUGCGUAGAGAUGUGGAGGAACACCAGUGGCGA
rnacentral:rRNA from 1 species